AAAGCUUCCGGCCGCUAUCACAGCUGUUGUCCGGUCAAUUUGGAAGCUGCUACUGUGUCAUUCUCUUCUAUUUAUCGUGAUAUGUGGUUGUCAGAAUUUCUGCGGUUGCUGCUGAUUAACAUGAGAAUAAGGAUUUAAUGGGUUUAAUUAUGCAACUUGCGACUAAUGGAGGUCUUUUCUUUUUCAGGAUAUGGACGACGAAGUUUGGAAGAGUUUUACUUUUGCGUUUACACAAUAUUUUUGUAUUGUUUUUGUGAUGUUUUCCCUCGCCUUUGACCUUUCACAUUUUGUAUGAGGGAUAGGAUCUUGUAUUAUGUAACGCUUGUAAAGUAAUAAUAUAUAU